AUCAGCGAACGGAACUACCGGAGAGCAAAGGACCCACCGUGCCUAUCUGAUAAAUCCAAAAUCCUUAAGAGAGUAAGAUAACACACCUAAGGUGACAGAAAUUGGGAGUGUUCCAGUAUAGGUGCCCUCCAGAAUGACAGACUUCCCAGGUUCUACAGAGUGAUCGCUUAGUUUCUUUACAAACGUGGCUGGCUCUGCCAGGUGACUUCCAAUGGCGUCGUACCCAUGACUUCACACUCCAGCUCCACAUCACUGUCCUUUACCACCUCCACAGGCUCCAGCUCCCUGAUAAAGGUGGGAGGCUCUACAGAGUCGAAAGGAAGACAGAGAGCAGCUUAGCUCAAGAGAAGCCCUGGAGCCGGCAGACAGCCCUGCUGAAGCACAAAGCAGAGACCCUCACG